ensembl:misc_RNA Metazoa_SRP Metazoan signal recognition particle RNA
AGUGGGUGUGGUGGCGUGUGCUUGUACUAGGUGCUUGGGAGGCUGAGGCAAGAGAAUUGCCUGAGUCCGGCAGUGCUGGGCUGUGAUGUGCUAUGCUGAUUGGGCGUCUGCACUAAGUGUGGUACCAAUAUGGUGACCUCUCAGGAGCGAGGGACCACCAGGUUGCCUAAGGAGGGGUGAACUGGCCCAGUUCGGAAAUGGAGCAGGUCGAAAUUCCCAUGCUGAUCAAUAGUGGGAUUGCACUUGUGAAUAGCCACUGCACUGCAGACUGGGCAACAUAGUGAGACCCUGUCUCUU